CAACAGGGGAGGCUGUGGCCGCUUUCUGUCUAACCGAGUCCUCAAGCGGGUCAGAUGCAGCCUCCAUCCGAACCUCUGCUGUGCCCAGCCCCUGUGGAAAAUACUAUACCCUUAAUGGAAGCAAGCUUUGGAUCAGUAAUGGGGGCCUAGCAGACAUCUUCACGGUCUUUGCCAAGACACCAGUUACAGAUCCAGCCACAGGAGCCGUGAAGGAGAAGAUCACAGCUUUUGUGGUGGAGAGGGGCUUCGGGGGCAUUACCCAUGGGCCCCCUGAGAAGAAGAUGGGCAUCAAGGCUUCAAACACAGCAGAGGUGUUCUUUGAUGGAGUACGGGUGCCAUCGGAGAACGUGCUGGGUGAGGUUGGGAGUGGCUUCAAGGUUGCCAUGCACAUCCUCAACAAUGGAAGGUUUGGCAUGGCUGCGGCCCUGGCAGGUACCAUGAGAGGCAUCAUUGCUAAGGCGGUGAGUACCCUGCCCGAGUCCCUGGGUAACCCAAACAGAAGUCUCACUGUCCCCCUUGCCAUGUGUCCCUGAUCACUUGCAGGCACUCCCUACACUAGAAACUCCUCCCCUACCAGCAGCCCGACUUGCUAGCUUAGGUCUCCAUCCAGCGUAGACUGAACUCUGGUUGUAUGCAAAACCCAUCCCUCUGGCGCAAGCCCAGCCCCUCUCCUAGGGAGACUGCAGAACCACACUGAACCACAGUGGGAUGCAUGGACCCUCUUCCAGGUAGAUCAUGCCACUAAUCGUACCCAGUUUGGGGAGAAAAUUCACAACUUUGGGCUGAUCCAGGAGAAGCUGGCACGGAUGGUUAUGCUGCAGUAUGUAACUGAG
rnacentral:sRNA from 1 species